UACGAAGGGGGCUAGCGUUGCUCGGAAUCACUGGGCGUAAAGGGUGCGUAGGCGGGGUUUUAAGGCAGAGGUGAAAUCCUGGAGCUCAACUCCAGAACUGCCUUUGAUACUGGGAAUCUUGAGUAUGGAAGAGGUGAGUGGAACUGCGAGUGUAGAGGUGAAAUUCGUAGAUAUUCGCAAGAACACCAGUGGCAAAGGCGGCUCACUGGUCCAUAACUGACGCUGAGGCACGAAAGCGUGGGGAGCAAACAGG
rnacentral:rRNA from 1 species